rnacentral:rRNA from 1 species
GAACGAACGCUGGCGGCAUGCCUACCCCAUGCAAGUCGAACGAGACCUUCGGGUCUAGUGGCGCACGGGUGCGUAACGCGUGGGAACCUGCCCUUAGGUUCGGAAUAACUCCCCGAAAGGGGUGCUAAUACCGGAUAAUGUCUUCGGACCAAAGAUUUAUCGCCUUUGGAUGGGCCCGCGUUGGAUUAGCUAGUUGGUAGGGUAAAAGCCUACCAAGGCGACGAUCCAUAGCUGGUCUGAGAGGAUGAUCAGCCACACUGGGACUGAGACACGGCCCAGACUCCUACGGGAGGCAGCAGUGGGGAAUAUUGGACAAUGGGCGAAAGCCUGAUCCAGCAAUGCCGCGUGAGUGAUGAAGGCCUUAGGGUUGUAAAGCUCUUUUACCCGGGAUGAUAAUGACAGUACCGGGAGAAUAAGCUCCGGCUAACUCCGUG